GUUGUGCCGGCAUGUUUACUCUGACGGUGCAAUCAAGGCAACCUCGCUCCCGCUGUUGGUCUCGGAUGUUGCCUACGUUCAAGUCUCUUGGCCCAUUUAAGUUGCCUUGACCCGACCCUAAGAAGCUCUCCGAACUGAGAACAACCGGAACAGGUGUUGCCUCUACCUCUCCACAGUUAGUGGUAGGAUUACGCAACAUUCUGCGCCGAUCCUCAAACAAGUAGGAACGAGCUUGGCCCGCUCAAUUGCGACAACCGGCCCGGCCGUUGGCUCCGCCUUGACACGCAAGUGGAUGGGUGGACAACU
rnacentral:misc_RNA from 1 species